rnacentral:rRNA from 1 species
AGUGAACGCUGGCGGCGUGCCUAAUACAUGCAAGUCGAACGAACGAAUAAGAGCUUGCUCUUAUAAGUUAGUGGCGCACGGGUGAGUAAUAUAUAGCUAAUCUGCCUCUUAGUAGAGGAUAACAGUCGGAAACGAUUGCUAAUACUCUAUACUUCUGCUUUACAUAAGUAAAGUAGAGAAAGUUUUUCGCUAAGAGAUGAGGCUAUACUGUAUCAGCUAGUUGGUAAGGUAACGGCUUACCAAGGCUAUGACGCAUAACUGGUCUGAGAGGAUGAUCAGUCACAUUGGAACUGAGACACGGUCCAAACUCCUACGGGAGGCAGCAGUAGGGAAUAUUGCGCAAUGGGGGAAACCCUGACGCAGCAACGCCGCGUGGAGGAUGACACUUUUCGGAGCGUAACUCCUUUUAUCGGGAAAGAAUAAUGACGG